CCUACGGGUGGCAGCAGUGGGGAAUAUUGCACAAUGGGGGAAACCCUGAUGCAGCGACGCCGCGUGAGUGAGGAAGUAUCUCGGUAUGUAAAGCUCUAUUAGCAGGGAAGAAAAUGACGGUACCUGACCAGGAAGCCCUGGCUAACUACGUGCCAGCAGCCGUGGUUAUACGUAGGGGGCAGCAGUUAUCCGGAUUUAUGGGGUGUAAAGGGAGUAUAGAGGGUUAAUCAAGUCAGAAGUGAAAACCCAGGGCCCAACCUUGGGACCGCUUUUGAAACUGAGUAGCUAGAGUGCAGGAGAGGUAAGCGGAAUUCCUGGUGUAGCGGUGAAAUGCGUAGAUAUUAGGAGGAACCCCGGUGGCGAAGGCGGCUUGCUGGACUGUAACUGACGUUGAGGCUCGAAAGCGUGGGGAGCGAACAGGAUUAGAUACCCCUGUAGUC
rnacentral:rRNA from 1 species